rnacentral:misc_RNA from 1 species
AAGGAGUCUAACAUAUCUGCGAGUAUUUGGGUGUGAAACCCGAGAGCGCAAUUAAAGGUAACGUAGGACCCACGCGCAAGCUGCAGCUUCGACCGAUCUUGAUCUUUUGUGAUUGAUUUGAGUAAGAGCAUAUAUGUUGGGACCCGAAAGAUGGUGAACUAUGCCUGAAUAGGGCGAAGCCAGGGGAAACUCUGGUGGAGGCUCGUAGCGAUUCUGACGUGCAAAUCGAUCGUCAAAUUUGGGUAUAGGGGCGAAAGACUAAUCGAACCAUCUAGUAGCUGGUUCCUGC